GGCAGCCUGGCCUAGUGGCUAGAGCGCUGGACUCUACGACUCUGGAGACCCGGGUUCGAAUCCCCGGGCGGCCA